GCUGGGCGGGACUUUCGGCUUUGCGUGCAGGAGGUUCUUUGAAACUUUCUGGAUCUGUCAGUCUGGUUCACAGAAAACUGGUUUUAUCAGUAUUGGUCAUGGCAGGAAAAUGGUAGAGUUGAGGCGUUUUUCCUCCGUCACGGAGACAGAGCUGAGGUUUUCGACAGCCCGUGUGAUCUAAUCCAAGCUUCGAGGAGGGAUGGCCACGUCCCAGGGCCUGGCUGGCCACUGGAGCCUGAUGGUGAUUGUGGAGGCUGCUGGUGGAGCCCUGCCCCAGAUUGCUAGAACCAAACCCUCUGACUCAGUGUCUGGUGGACUGUACCUCUCAAGGCUUGUGGGAGGGCAUGAGCUCUGACAAAGAGCCCUGGAGUGACCUCUACUGGCAUUACAUGAGGGAAAGGGCUCAGUGAACCUAAGGACCUGACUUUUGUUUAGAGAGACUCUGGUGGCCAAGAAGAUUUGAACAGGUUUCCCAGUAUUCAGUGAAACAUGCUAACCAGAAAGAAGACUGUUUAUCCUUUGAGGAUGUGGCUGUGGACUUCUCCUGGGAGGAAUGGACACUGCUUGAUGACUCUCAAAGGAUGCUGCACCAGACUUUGAUGUCAGAAAUAUGAACACUCAUGUCUUUACUUGACUUAUACCUUCUGGGAUCCGUGACAUGACUCAGCUGGAGUCUUGGGGAGAGCCCUCUGUGCCUGCAUUGAGAUUCCUGACUCCAGGUUGUUGGAUCAAAGUGGAGAGUGAAAUGUCACCCUUUGAGCAGAGUCUGUCUGCAGAAGGUGCCAGUCCAUCCACGCUGCAGCAGCACAUGCUGUGCUGUGCUGUGCUGAGACACCCUUGCUAAGCAUGGACAAUGUGAUGAUCCUCCAGACCUCCUAGGGUCUUCUAAAGCAUCAAGUGACUUACACUAUUGGGGAUACCCCCACAAACACUGAGAGUAGAGAGGCCAUUCAGAGUGAGAAGAACUGCAUACGCAGCGACAGUGGCAAAACUUUUACUAGCACAUCCCACCUCAAUCGACACCGGAAGAUACACACUGGAGAAAAGCCUUUUCAGUGCAGGGAGUGUGGGAUGUCCUUCAGCCAAAAAGCCUUUCUUAUUAAGCAUUUCAGAAUUCACACCGCAGAGAAGCCAUUCAGGUACAGUGAGUGUUGCAAAACCUUCAAGCACAACUGCUACCUUGUUGCUCAUCAGUGAGUUCACACAGGAGUGACACUGUUACAUGGGCUAAAUGUGGCAAGUCAUACAUGAACAGAUCCAGCCUUUUAUAUCAUUAUUGGGUCCAUACUGGAGAAAAUCCAUAGAAGUAUACUAUAGUAGUUUGAAUAGGUUUGGCCCUAUAGAUUCAUGUGUUUGAAUGCUUGGCCCAUAGGGAGUGACACUAUUAGGUGAUGUGGCCUUCUUAGAAUAGGUGUGGCAUUCUUGCAGAAAGUGUGUCACUGUGGGGAUGGGCUUUGAGGUUCAGUGCUCAAGCUCCACCCAGUGUGGGAGAGUCUCGUCCUGGCUGCCUUUAGAUCAGGAUAUAAAACCUCUACUCCACAGCACCGUGUCUGCCUGCAUGCAGCCAUGGUUCCUGCCAAGAUGGUAAUGGAUUGACCUUCUGAAAAUGUAAGCCAGACCCAAUUAAAUGUUUUCCUUUAUAAG
rnacentral:lncRNA from 1 species